UUCCCACCACAGGGUGAACCCACACCCUCACUCCUGGAGCUGAGGAACAGGAAACACCACGCAUGCUCCAGGUCACAGUGGUGCCUGGGUCAAAAGUGUGCUCCCGUCGACAUAACGCUACCUCACAGUUAUGCAGGCAAGGUCGAUGUUGAGAAAUCUCAACAAAUGGAAAUCAGAGAGAGUACUUGGCGACUCCAGCCCAUUGCUUGCUCGAAAAGGAUCUACAUGCUGACCUGUAUUGGGAAUCCAAAUAAGACCUCCGCAAGGCCAUUGAGAAGCCAAGAGGCAAUACCAAACUAAGCUAGAGACCCAGACUACACACACAGACACCCACCGUCUGUGGUAAGGCCUAUGUGACAUAACGAGCUACAAAAUGAAGCAGAACAGAAUAGCAGACUAAAGUAUUGAAGGACUCAAUGCUUUUUACGCUCGGUUCGAACAGAAGGCCAGUGAAACAGGGUCACCUGGCCCAACAGCCUCGAAUACACCUGUACCACUGCAGAUGUCAGAUCGACCUUCUUGAGAGUGAGCCCACGGAAAGCGAUUGGCCCAGAUGGAGUCCCCGGCCAAGCACUUAGAUCCUGUGCAAACCAGCUGGUGGAGGUAUUCGCUGUUAUCUUUAACCUCUCCUAGCUACAAUCUGAAGUCCCCACCUGCUUCAGGAAGACCACCAUCAUUCCAGUACCAAAGAAACCAUAUGCAAAUUGCCUCAAUGACUACGGCCCAGUGGCUCUGACCUCCACUACUGUGAAGUGCUUCGAGAGGUUAGUCAUGGCUCGUAUCAACUCU